rnacentral:rRNA from 1 species
CCUACGGGAGGCAGCAGUGAGGAAUAUUGGUCAAUGGGCGCGAGCCUGAACCAGCCAUGUCGCGUGAAGGAUGACUGCCCUACGGGUUGUAAACUUCUUUUAUACAGGAAUAAACUGAGGUACGUGUACCUUUUUGUAUGUACUUUAUGAAUAAGGAUCGGCUAACUCCGUGCCAGCAGCCGCGGUAAUACGGAGGAUCCGAGCGUUAUCCGGAUUUAUUGGGUUUAAAGGGAGCGUAGGUGGGUUGUUAAGUCAGUUGUGAAAGUUUGGGGCUCAACCGUGGAAUUGCAAUUGAUACUGGUAGGCUAGAGUAUAGUUGAGGUAGGCGGAAUGCGUGGUGUAGCGGUGAAAUGCUUAGAGAUCACGAAGAACACCGAUUGCGAAGGCAGCUUACUAAACUGCCACUGACGUUGAGGCACGAAAGUGUGGGGAGCAAACAGGAUUAGAUACCCGAGUAGUC